AUUGAACGCUGGCGGCAUGCCUUACACAUGCAAGCCGAACGGUAACGCGGGGCAACCUGGCGACGAGUGGCGAACGGGUGAGUAGUGCAUCGGAACGUGCCCAGUUGUGGGGGAUAACUGCUCGAAAGAGCAGCUAAUACCGCAUACGACCUGAGGGUGAAAGCGGGGGAUCGCAAGACCUCGCGCAAUUGGAGCGGCCGAUGUCGGAUCAGCUAGUUGGUGGGGUAAAGGCCCACCAAGGCGACGAUCCGUAGCUGGUCUGAGAGGACGACCAGCCACGCUGGGACUGAGACACGGCCCAGACUCCUACGGGAGGCAGCAGUGGGGAAUUUUGGACAAUGGACGCAAGUCUGAUCCAGCCAUGCCGCGUGCGGGAAGAAGGCCUUCGGGUUGUAAACCGCUUUUGUCAGGGAAGAAAUCUUCUGGGUUAAUACCUCGGGAGGAUGACGGUACCUGAAGAAUAAGCACCGGCUAACUACGUGCCAGCCGCCGCUGUAACAC
rnacentral:rRNA from 1 species